GACGCUAAAGCAUUUCCCCCCUGCAGAGUGUGUUGCAACAUUUAUCAGUCACACUGAGAAUCCAGAAGAUGAAGGAAAAGGUCACGUCGUUUGCUGAGAACUUACCGAAGUUGAACUCCCUCACUUUCCGCUUCCCAGCGUUGGCGGGUUCCGGGACUGGUGGCUGCGGUAGCUCAUUGGCCUUUGGUCUCUUAGACGGUGGAGAAUAAUCAUCAUCUUGAAAAAGAAAAUGGUCAUUACUGGAAGAACCGUCUUAGAGUUACAGUCACCUCCUGGUCAAUUCCCAACAUUCAAAAGCUAAAGAAAUGGGCUCAGAGGAUGCUAUUUGAUUGGACUAUGUUGUAUCUCUGGAGAGCACAGCUGAGAUCAGACUGUGUGUGUAACUCCACUAGACUACGAGGGUGCUUCUGAUAAAGAGAUCCUAAAAAACCUACAAUAUGAGCUGCAGUAAGUGUGCCAUGUGUGGUUAUGGUUGCAAGAUCAUAGUUCUCGGGGUGUUUAAAGGCAACACCUUCUGGAAGCCCCUGCACUACCACAGCCGACUGGUCUCGCAGCAUCUUCUCAUAUGGUACAGGUACCACUGUGGAUUUGCCUAAAGCUUUCCCUGGGGGAGAUGAAAAGCGGAUGAACAUCAUUCAGUGGUAAGAUUACAAAAUGAAAUCAUCGCUAGCUUAUUGUGGCUUAAUAAGGGCAUCCACGAUUUUUUAUAAUAUGUGAUUUCAAAAUUAAUUAAUACUACAGCAUUCUAUCGUCCCAUGUCAGCA
rnacentral:antisense_RNA from 1 species